UACAGAGGGUGCGAGCGUUGUUCGGAAUUACUGGGCGUAAAGCGCGCGCAGGCGGCCCUUUAAGUCCGUCGGUCAAAUGCCGGGGCUCAACCCCGAGCGUGCCGAGGAUACUGGAGGGCUGGAGACACGUAGAGGCAAGCGGAAUUCCGGGUGUAGCGGUGGAAUGCGUAGAGAUCCGGAAGGACACCGGAGGCGAAGGCGGCUUGCUGGGCGUGAUCUGACGCUGAGGCGCGAAAGCGUGGGGAGCGAACAGG
rnacentral:rRNA from 1 species